rnacentral:rRNA from 1 species
UACGUAGGGGGCUAGCGUUGUCCGGAAUCAUUGGCGUAAAGCGCGCGUAGGCGGCCCGGUAAGUCCGCUGUGAAAGUCCAGGGCUCAACCCUGGAAAGCCGGUGGAUACUGCCGGGCUAGAGUCCGGGAGAGGCGAGUGGAAUUCCUGGUGUAGCGGUGAAAUGCGCAGAUAUCAGGAAGAACACCUAUGGCGAAAGCAGCUCUCUGGGACGGUACUGACGCUGAGACGCGAAAGCGUGGGGAGCGAACAGG